rnacentral:rRNA from 1 species
AAGGUAGCGAAAUUCCUUGUCGGGUAAGUUCCGACCUGCACGAAUGGCGUAACGACUUCCCCGCUGUCUCCAACAUAGACUCAGCGAAAUUGAAUUACCGGUCAAGAUGCCGGUUACCCGCGGUUAGACGGAAAGACCCCGUGCACCUUUACUACAACUUCACACUGGCAUUAGGCCGAACAUGUGCAGGAUAGGUGGUGGGCUUUGAAGCGUGGACGCCAGUCUGCGUGGAGCCUCCCUUGAGAUACCACCCUUGUUCUGCUUGAUGUCUAACCGCGGUCCGUUAUCCGGAUCCGGGACCCUGUGUGGUGGGUAGUUUGACUGGGGCGGUCGCCUCCUAAAUCGUAACGGAGGCGCGCGAAGGUUGGCUCAGAGCGGUCGGAAAUCGCUCGUUGAGUGCAAUGGCAGAAGCCAGCCUGACUGCGAGACUGACAAGUCGAGCAGAGUCGAAAGACGGCCAUAGUGAUCCGGUGGUCCCAAGUGGGAGGGCCAUCGCUCAACGGAUAAAAGGUACGCCGGGGAUAACAGGCUGAUACUGCCCAAGAGUCCAUAUCGACGGCAGUGUUUGGCACCUCGAUGUCGGCUCAUCUCAUCCUGGGGCUGGAGCAGGUCCCAAGGGUACGGCUGUUCGCCGUUUAAAGAGGUACGUGAGCUGGGUUUAGAACGUCGUGAGACAGUUCGGUCCCUAUCUUCCGUGGGUGUAGGAUACUUGAGAGGAGUUGCCCCUAGUACGAGAGGACCGGGGUGAACGAUCCACUGGUGGACCAGUUGUUAUGCCAAUAGCAGUGCUGGGUAGCUAUGAUCGGACAGGAUAACCGCUGAAGGCAUCUAAGCGGGAAGCCCCCCUCAAAACAAGGUAUCCCCGAGAGCCGAGAUAGACCAUCUCGUCGAUAGGCCAGAGAUGUAAGCGUAGUAAUACGUUCAGUUGACUGGUACUAAUUGCUCGAUAGGCUUGAUUUG